AUACUUAUAAUAUAUUCUAUAACUGUUAAAAGUUAUAUAUAUAUAUAUACACACUUUAUCAAUGUGAAUAAUCAUUAUUCUCGCAAGAGGAUGAUCAGUACACAGAGUAGAAAAAUAAAGAAGAAAAAAUCCUCUCAAGCAAAUCAUUAAUCAAAUGAUGUCAUAUCUUUUAUCUAUACACAUCAUGAUAGCUUCCUCCACAUCAUUCUCUUCUUCGUACAAGUAUGCCUCUCAAUCAUAUUCUCAAAAGUUAUGCAUCCUCAAAUACUCAUCCAUUUGUUCUUGCUACUCUUUCCUUUGCCUCUACUCCCACAUUUACCAUCUACAUGCCCAGUGUAUAUUUGCUUCUUCAAUUACUCUUAACUCAUUUGCUUCUCAUGACUAACCCACUUUAAAAUUUUUCAAAUCAAACCUAUAAAGCAAGGGUGUCAAACUCAAAGGCUAACAUGGGCCAAAAAAAAAGGUUUUGAAUUUAGGUGGGCCGCAAAAAAACUUCAAUAUUCGUAGAAAGGUAGGUUUAUUUCGAAAAGUAGAAAAAUUAAAAAAGGACAAGGACAAUUUAAUGUUUUCUUCCUGACACUUGGCAUCACUUCUCUGCUACUAUCUUUCCUACUUCGGUAAAACAUUGCUCGCAAUGAUU
rnacentral:lncRNA from 1 species